UGACACCUGAUGAUUUAUGGCAGUGUUUUAUAAUCUGCUGGUGGUCUACUCACAGGAAAUGUAGUUAUGUGAGUCCGUCAGAUGAUGCCUCCCAGCAAGAAGUCGCUCAGACGUGUUCUGGUUUGAUCAGAGUUUCCAGUCUGCCAUUUUUAAUAAACCUCAACUGGCUAAUAAUCAUUGGAAGCCUGGGUGGUGUCAUAUGAAUUUUUUAGAACAUAAUGUUCAAUUAAAUUAUACUCAUGGCAUUAUUUAUGUCCACAUUUAAUCUAAAUUCAAACUAUUUAAAGACAUAAACUGAUAUCCAGUGAUGAUGUAUGUGGGUAGAAAAUGGUUUUGUAUGGAGAGAGGUGGAUGGGAAAACUGAAAAGAAUAGAGCUGUAAUAAAUAUGAAAAUGUAUAUUCAAACUACAUAUUUUGCAGAUUUUUCAAAGCUUCACAGGAAUCCUUGUUUAAGUACAUUUUCAUGAAUCAUAAUCCAAAAAUGUCUCCAACUACAAAAUGCCCUACUUACAGUCUUACAUACACAUUUCUUGAUUCAGAUAACUCAUUAAAGACUACCCAAGAACUCCUCUUACUUUGAAUAACAUGUGAAGAGCUGAGACUAAUAUUUCACUUUGUUCUUUAAAUUCUGUCUGCUGCUGUGAAAAUAUGCCCCAACAAAACUGUCAUAGAUUAACUUUUCUUUCUUCUGACUGGAAACCAGGACGAAACGCCAACCCUCCCUUCCCCUUUCAAUUUCCAUUACAAAACAGGCUCUAUCUGUUCGACUGCAGGAACACAGUGGUGAAUACAAUAUAUUUGAUUUGAGAUUAUAGACACCGGAACCUUUUCUGAGAGGAAAUAAGCUUGGAAAUGGAGCAGUUGAAACUCAAGCGUAAUGUCUCGCAGAACAAGUUGACGUCUGACAUCUGGCUUCAAGCGUAGAGCUUCGCGUCGUCGGCGUCUCUGUCCAUUGUGGAGCGGCAGACGAUUCGGUCUGAAGAGCAAACCAAACCCCAAAUUUGUAGAACUCCUUUGGGGGCCGCUCGCCCUUUUACACGGGUCAAUCUGCGAGACAUUAAUCUCAGUCGGUGUUUAUGUAAUUAUCGGACUGCUGUUAUCGUCUGUUAGUCAGGAAAGGGUUCCUGUUAGAUCCACUUUGCCAAACGCCAACAAAAGGCGACCAAACAGCCAAAAAAAGAAGUGCUCUCAGCAAUCAUUGCCUCUGUUUCUCCUUCAUUCUUUGAAAGCUACGCAGCAGCUGCUUUAUUCUGCACAGUUUUAAUCUCUUCUGUUCUUGUGAUCAGUGUGUGCCGAUUACUCAAAGCGAUACAGGUGGGGUCUGGCAUGCUAGGUUUAGCCAUGGAUGGUGAAAGUCUUUUAUUGCUAUACGAUGUAGUGCUGCUUGCUAUCUGUGACAUGUUGGCCAGGACCCUACUCUAUCGCUUUGUACAGUAUAAAGUAGUUUAAAGAAGUUGAAUAACAUAAAAUAACAUAUUACAAUGUUAUUUAUGUUAUUUCCCACGUGAAGAACUCCUGUAAACCUUGCAGUAUUGAAACUCAGUGAACAAGGCAUCUUAGACAAGCUGAAAAACAAAUGGUGGUACGAUAAGGGUGAAUGUGGAACCAAGGACUCUGGAAGUAAGGUCAGUCGCUGCAGGUCUUCUUAUACUGAUGGCAAAAAUGCAUUUUACCUUCACUGUUCAUAUGCAGACAUGUAGCGCAUACAUCCUCAGACAUGUUGGCAUGAAACACAGUCAUGGAGACUAGAUUACCUUCACACACCGCAGCUUAGGGUAUUUACACAACAGGGCAUUGAUGCUUUACUUUUAACUCCACGCCAUUACCUCUCUGUGCAGACACAUAAAACUGCAGCAUGAUUACACACAGUUUGUAUUCACCCCAUUAAACUCUUAAAAAGUUUAACGACAAGAACUGAAACCAUUAUACUGCUGUUUCUCAUCCAAACUGCUAUUGAAAUUUAGUUUGCUGUUGGUCUUAUUCAUUUGUAUGUGGAGUUGUUGUUAAACCCUUUGACAAAAAAAGGAAGAAAAAAAAAACUUGGGCUGCUGUGCAGAAUGUUCCAAAACUGAACUAAAACCAGAAAUUCAUUAUAAUUACAAGUAAUUAACAUAGCAACAUGUUUUAUGAAAAGAAGGACAAGUAAUGUUUAGUGGUAUUUUCAAUAUGGAGGAUGGCGGUGGUUGCCCAGGGUGGCAUCAAAGAUGGGGCACAGAUUUUUGGAUAUGCUUAUUCCUACAGAUGUGGAUCUAUCAAAAAAAAAAAUCCUUCCUCUAAGCAGUGAGAUUUUUUUUUUAUAACUGGGGUAUUUUAUGUGUGAAAAGAUCACAACUGAAACACUCCACGAAACAAGAACGUGGGUUCAUAUCACUCCAGCUCAGGCAGGUAAAACGUUAGGUGAGAGAAUCUAGCUUUAACCGUUUUUUCAAAGGUACAGUUGCGAGGUCAAACACUGAUGUUGGACAAAAAGGCCUGGCCCAAGAUCCUGACACUGUUGGGUUAGUGUCAGGACUCAAAUCAAGUUCUUUCAUAAAAUCCUCACUCAUUUAUGUCUUUAUGGACCUUGCCUAGUUGACUGAAACUUCAACAUAUUUGAGAGAUUUUCUUAGAAUUUCUGCCAAUUUUCUCUUUAAAGUUGUAUUUGUCCUCAGUUAGAAAGACUUAACAUGGCACAAAUUACAUAAAAUUAACAGAAAGACCUUCUGCUUAAACUUUCCAGUUGAGUGUUUUCUUGUCGUUGAAACCCCGGGUGUAGUUGCUUUGGAAGAGGCAGAGACCAUCUCCAAACUGUUCCCCCCUAAGCUAGCCUAAAACUCUCCAGAAUGUCUUGGUGUGGUAAAGCAUUAGGAGCCCCUUUUCGUUGGAAACUUUCUCCACUGCUCUAGUAAAUGGACAUUUACACAGCAUCCAAAAAAACCUAAGUUGUCUUCCACCCAAUGGCACGACUCUUUGCUUUGCACUUGGAUGUAGACCAAGUUUGGAUGCAGCUGUUGGUCCAUGAAGUUCUUUACACUAGCAGUCGACUUCUGACUGUCAAGAAGUGAGGAAAUUCACCAAAGCCCUAACUGCACAUCCAAUUAGACUACCAUGAUGGGAUUUACUGAACUUCAGAGAACAAUCCAUCUGUUCCCAAAUGCUUGUAGAAUUAGUCUGCAUAUCUAGAUGUUUGAUUUUAUCAACCUGGGAGGGACUGAAAGACCUGAUUUCAGUGAUUUGGAUCGGUCCUUUCCCAAUGACACAACUGUCACCAAAAAUAGUUCUGCAAUGCAACCUCAUGUGUAUUUGCACACUAAUGCUUCACUGAGCUGCCUCUGGUAUUUAUGAAUAAAUCAGGAAGAAAGGCAGCAACUUUGUUACUCUGAUAAAACGCAGUUUGUGAAAUGAAGGACCAUUUUUUUAGCCUGUCUCUUCUUUUUGAUAUGUUGCUGAAAAUUUCUUCAAGCUAUUUUCAACAAUCAUUAUGUUAUUGAAAAAGCAAAAAUAAGUUAAAUUCAUUCUUUUUCUGCAUUUUGUGCAGCUGCCCUUGUUUGAACACAGAAAAAGCCAUUGUUGCCCUGACAAAACCAAAGUGACCCCUUAAAUAGCAAGUAAGUGGCCAGGGGGGUAUUUAAUGGUCAUGAUGGAUUGUCAGAGUAACAAACUUUUUUUUUAAUGCAUUUUCAAUUAUAAAAUAACUAGUUUGUAUACAAAAGUAAUCUGACUUUUACCACAUAAAAGCAGAUUUAACUGGUUUUGGAACCGUUCCAUUGGGUUUCAAUGCAAAUGGUGACACUUGCAGAAAUGAAUUUCAAUCUUACCGUUUGGCUUUUAAAAGCAGCAAAAUGGUUCAGUUCCCCUUUCUUACAGCUUGCUACUCUGACUGUACAGAUGCAGUGUUGUCAAGGUUGAGUUCAGCAGCUAUGGUAGUGAACUGAAGCUAAUCUGUAGACCUGUACGACCACGACCGCCUUCCUCUAUGCGUGGCCUCGUAAAGAGACCGCAAAGCAGGAUAGUCGACAAGUCUCUCUACAUUCACCUUGUCAGGGAUUUUUUUUUUCCUUUUUUAUUUUGAUUAAGAGGAGGAGGUCUGUAGAUGUACUGUUUUUAGUCAGAUUAGGCUUCAGGAUGUCUAUACACACAUUUAGCGACCUCCUCAGAGUAGCUGCUAGUGACAGAGUAGCAGUGUUCAUGUUGGUUUUGUGCCUCUCAGUGUCCGUUUAAAACCCCUUAAUGGUGGUCUGUACCUCCCCCAGGACAAGACAAGUGCAUUGAGCCUGAGCAACGUGGCAGGCGUCUUCUAUAUUCUGGUCGGGGGGCUCGGCUUGGCUAUGACCGUUGCUUUGAUAGAGUUCUGCUAUAAGUCACGGCAGGAAACAAAAAAACUCAAGCUGGCGAAGAACGCCCAAAACUUUAAGCCAGCCCCCCCAGCAAACGCCCAGAAUUUUGCCACAUACCGUGAAGGCUACAACGUCUACGGGACGGAGAGCGUGAAAAUCUAAAGGGUGAUUCUUAAGCCCCACUGGUGCAUAAAGGAUAGAAAGAGCCACUCCGACACGUGACCCAUGACCCCGACAACCCUCCACCCCUCGAAGGUGGGCAAUCCUGGAAGCGACGCCUUCCUCGUCAUCAGCUUGGACUCAAGCCAACAAGUCAACAAGUGCUCAUUUGGGGUUAUGAACCGUCACACUGACAGAGGGCAAUCACACGCAUCUGGACUUCUGUUUGUGGGAACAUGGGAAUUGCCUCUUUUUGUGCCUUAAGGAGCAUUUUGGCGUCAUGGCAAUGCAGAUAAAAUUAAAUUAACUUGAUAAACACAGAACAAAAAAAAAUGUAAAAAAAAUGGCGGCGAUUGGAUAAGAAACGGCUUCAUGUAGAUGGACUGAUGUAAUUACUGUUUUAUAUUUUGAAGACGACAAAAAAAAAAAAAAAAAAAGCCAUGGUUUGCAAUGAAAUCCCUGAGGUACUUAAGUAAUUUAAAUCCUUUAAAGAGAUAUUUUUGUGGUGAAACCUUAAGUUGGAUAAAUGUUAUGUUUAGUGAGGUAAAGUCCUUCUCUUGUGUUAUAAGGAUAUUUCCAGUGUCGGAACAUUUAGGACAAGCAUCAGUAACAAUAAUAAGGCUAAGGAUCAGUUGAACUGGCAGCAUUUUCUACCAGUUUUUGUUUUUACUCCAACUUCAACACGUCAUGCUUGUGUACAUCUGAAACAGCUGGGAUGAUGUUUGUUUCAUAGCCUGCUGGACAUCCAACCUACUCUGUAUUUACUUGGAUGCUUGUUUUAAAUCAAGUAUGUCAUUUGUUUAAAACUGCCACUUUUUUUGGGGGGGGGUAGGGGGUGAAGACAUUUCUACCAAAGAGGUUGGCUUGUUUUCAACUUGGCGCCGCGUUACUGAGAUCGAGACAAUUCCCAACUCUUUAGACGAAAAGGGGGGGAAAAAAAAAGACCCCGUUUUACGUAACAAAGCAUUGAAGUCGAUUUUAAAAGAGCUCAUGGUUUACACUUUGUACACACGCCAGCACUGCUCUCGUAUAGGUGCGGUUUCAUCAGUUUUGGUAAACGGCGCUGUGCCGUAGCUUCUUUUGGUCGCGAUGAGCUUCCUGUGCAUUUCGCAGAGGCCGCGCGACGAAUCCAACAUUUGUACGACUAAAACUCUGCAGUCCGCAGGGAGAGGCUGACAUUACAAACCAUUUGCGCCUACACUUGUUUGAUAACUCUUUCUCAUCCUUUUCAUAAAGUGCAUGUGAAUUUGGUGGUAGUUUAAUCAAAUAGCAACUCCAAACGGACCCGGUUUAGUCGGCUCUAAAAUGACUUAUUCCAGUUUGAGUUUAGGGAGGGGGGGUAUUUUUGGGUUAAUUUAUUGAUACCUCAACCGUGAGAGUUGCAUGUAUGGACACAAGCCUCUGUGUAGAGGUCCUGUACAAAGGAUUUUAUUACAUUUCCUUAAUAAAAGAAGAUUUAUAUUCA